rnacentral:rRNA from 1 species
AUACGUAGGUGACAAGCGUUAUCCGGAUUUACUGGGUGUAAAGGGCGUGUAGGCGGUUUAGCAAGUCAGAAGUGAAAUUCCCGGGCUUAACUUGGGCGCUGCUUCUGAAACUGCUUUACUUGAGUGCUGGAGAGGAUAGUGGAAUUCCUAGUGUAGCGGUAAAAUGCGCAGAUAUUAGGAGGAACACCGGUGGCGAAGGCGGCUAUCUGGACAGUAACUGACGCAGAGGCGCGAAAGCACGGGGAGCAAACAGGAUUAGAUACCCUGGUAGUCCGUGCCGUAAACGAUGAAUACUAGGUGUAGGGGGUAUCGACUCCCUCUGUGCCGCAGUUAACACAUUAAGUAUCCCACCUGGGGAGUACGGCCGCAAGGUUGAAACUCAAAUGAAUUGACGGGG